rnacentral:pre_miRNA from 1 species
AAUGUAUGACGCCGUUAACUUUUCGUCCAACGUUUAACCAUUCGUCUUAUUUAAAAAAUUUAUAUAAUUAUCAUUUAUUUUAUUGUGACUUGAUUCAUCAUCAAAUGUUCUUUAAGCAUGACAUAAAUAUUUUCAUUUUUACAUAAAAAAUUUAAAUAAAACGAAUGGUCAAACAUUGGUUUAAAAAAUCAACGACAUCUACA